AGAUCCAUUUAUUUAUUGGUCAUAUCCCUCCUGCAUGGCAUUGCCUGGGAUUCCCUGGUACAGAAAGCAGCUCAGUGUAAGAGCACAGGCUCUACAUGAUCCUCAAAAAACAGUCCCACUUGCUGACAGGAGAGUGAAAGUAACGUAGAUGCUGCACUGACUCAUUGGUGAAAAGGCUGCACAUCAUUGGUGAGGGAUGAAAGACAAAUUGGACUGUUGGAACCCUGGAUGGAACCCGCGACUCUUGGAACCCUGCUUUAUUGGAUAUCAAAAGUGCAAUGCUGGAGCCUUGAUCUGCAGGAUCAGAAACAAGACUUGCCUGGCACUGAGACAUUAACCCUCCAAAAAACCAUCUAAACCAUUAAACCAUCUAAACAGCCUGGAAUUCACCAGGAGCUUCCUGGAAAGGAGAACUUUAAGAACAAGAACGGAAAAAAAGCCGGGUAAAAGCUGUAACUGGCUCUGCCUGUCUGUGCUAUGACAGCCAACAAUAUCACCUGCUGAUGAUUUACAGAUUCCUGGGAGAUGUGUUGUUGAGUCUCAAAGAACUGGAACAAGAACAACUCGCUCAAAUUACUUCCCGUGAAACAGCAUAACGUAUCCACCCGCUUCAUGCUCUCCUAAUUUAGGACACGUGUAGUCUGUAAUGAUGAACUGGCCAACUGAUUAUGUUACUGUAAAUCUCGUUCCCCACCUUACAAAACACCCCUCACUGACCCCUUUUUCAUGAUAGUUCAGUGCAGCAUUUCCAGUCCACUUCUUGAGAGGGAGAAAAAUAGCACUUGCAAAAGCACUUCUCCAGAGAGGAAAAUGCAACAUUUUGUUGUUUUUAUUCGCUGGGCAGCCUUUUCAAGUUCUGUGACCCACUUUUGCUUCCCUUUAAAUUGUGACCAGUAUUUAUUUAUCCCUCUUUGAACACA